CAAUAGCGUAUAUUUAAGUUGUUGCAGUUAAAAAGCUCGUAGUUGGAUUUCGGGCGGGUGACGGCGGUCCGCCUCUGGUGUGCACUGCCGGCAUCCGCCUUUCUGUCGGGGACGGGCUCCUGGGCUUCAUUGCUUGGGACUCGGGUUCGACGUGGUUACUUUGAGUAAAUUAGAGUGUUCAAAGCAGGCGAUCGCCCUGAAUACAUUAGCAUGGAAUAGCACGAUAGGACUCUGGCCUAUUUUGCUGGUCUGUAGGACCGGAGUAAUGAUUAAGAGGGACAGUCGGGGGCAUUCGUAUUUCAUUGUCAGAGGUGAGAUUCUUGGAUUUAUGAAAGACGAACUUCUGCGAAAGCAUUUGCCAAGGAUGUUUUCAUUGA
rnacentral:rRNA from 1 species